rnacentral:rRNA from 1 species
UAGGCAUGCAGUCGUGCGCGAAGCCUUCGGGCGAGUAAAGCGGCGAAAGGGUGAGUAACACGUAACCAACGUACCCCACGGACUGGGAUAACCACUGGAAACGGUGGGUAAUACCGGAUGGACCACUGGGAUGCAUAUCCUGGCUGGUAAACGGCGGCGCAAGCGGUUGCCGAGGGAGCGGGUUGCGGCCUAUCAGCUAGUUGGCGAGGUAACGGCUCACCAAGGCGAUGACGGGUAACAGGUCUGAGAGGAUGAUCUGUCACACUGGGACUGAGACACUGCCCAGACUCCUACGGGAGGCUGCAGUCGAGAAUCUUCCACAAUGGGCGCAAGCCUGAUGGAGCGACACCGCGUGCAGGAUGAAGGCCUUCGGGUUGUAAACUGCUGUCACGCUAUAGGAACCCACUUGGGUGAACAGUCCAAGUGCUGACUAAAGCGAAAGGAAGCGCCGGCUAACUCUGUGCCAGCAGCCGCGGUAAUACAGAGGGCGCAAGCGUUAUUCGGAUUCACUGGGCAUAAAGAGCACGUAGGCGGCUACGUAAGUCGGAUGUGAAAUCCCGCGGCUCAACCGCGGAAUGGCAUCCGAUACUGCGUGGCUCGAGGUCGAAAGGGGUAAGCGGAACUCCAGGUGGAACGGUGAAAUGUGUAGAUAUCUGGAGGAACACCGGGUGGCGAAGGCGGCUUACUGGUUCGAAUCUGGCGCUGAGGUGCGAAAGCUAGGGGAGCGAACGGGAUUAGAUACCCCGGUAGUCCUAGCCGUAAACGAUGGGCACUAGCAAUGGAUCAUCCCUAUG